CGCGGCCUAUCAGCUUGUUGGUGAGGUUACGGCUCACCAAGGCGACGACGGGUAGCCGGCCUGAGAGGGUGACCGGCCACACUGGGACUGAGAUACGGCCCAGACUCCUACGGGAGGCAGCAGUGGGGAAUAUUGCACAAUGGGCGCAAGCCUGAUGCAGCGACGCCGCGUGAGGGAUGACGGCCUUCGGGUUGUAAACCUCUUUCGCCAGGGACGAAGCGCAAGUGACGGUACCUGGAGAAGAAGGACCGGCCAACUACGUGCCAGCAGCCGCGGUAAUACGUAGGGUCCGAGCGUUGUCCGGAAUUACUGGGCGUAAAGAGCUCGUAGGUGGUUUGUCGCGUUGUUCGUGAAAACUCACAGCUCAACUGUGGGCGUGCGGGCGAUACGGGCAGACUGGAGUACUGCAGGGGAGACUGGAAUUCCUGGUGUAGCGGUGGAAUGCGCAGACAUCAGGAGGAACACCGGUGGCGAAGGCGGGUCUCUGGGCAGUAACUGACGCUGAGGAGCGAAAGCGUGGGGAGCGAACAGGAUUAGAUACCCUGGUAGUCCACGCCGUAAACGGUGGGUACUAGGUGUGGGUUUCCUUCCUUGGGAUCCGUGCCGUAGCUAACGCAUUAAGUACCCCGCCUGGGGAGUACGG
rnacentral:rRNA from 1 species